rnacentral:rRNA from 1 species
UACGGAGGAUCCAAGCGUUAUCCGGAAUCAUUGGGUUUAAAGGGUCCGUAGGCGGUCUAGUAAGUCAGUGGUGAAAGCCCAUCGCUCAACGGUGGAACGGCCAUUGAUACUGCUAGACUUGAAUUAUUAGGAAGUAACUAGAAUAUGUAGUGUAGCGGUGAAAUGCUUAGAGAUUACAUGGAAUACCAAUUGCGAAGGCAGGUUACUACUAAUGGAUUGACGCUGAUGGACGAAAGCGUGGGUAGCGAUCCGG